rnacentral:rRNA from 1 species
UACGAAGGGGGCUAGCGUUGUUCGGAAUUACUGGGCGUAAAGCGCGUGUAGGUGGUUGUCCAAGUUGGAUGUGAAAGCCUUGAGCUCAACUCAAGAAAUGCAUUCAGGACUGGAUGGCUAGAGGACCGGAGAGGAUAGUGGAAUUCCCAGUGUAGUGGUGAAAUACGUAGAGAUUGGGAAGAACACCAGUGGCGAAGGCGGCUAUCUGGACGGUUUCUGACACUAAGACUCGAAAGCGUGGGGAGCAAACAGG